rnacentral:misc_RNA from 1 species
GAACGCACAUUGCGCCCGCUAGUAUUCUGGCGGGCAUGCCUGUUCGAGCGUCAUUUCAACCAUCAAGCCCUAGGCUUGUGUUGGGGCCCUGCGGCCGUCCGCAGCCCCCUAAAAACAGUGGCGGGCUCGCUAUAUACCGAGUGCAGUAGUUUACUCUUCGCUCAGGACAUGUAGUGGGUUCUUGCCGUAAAACCCCCCAUUUUCUAAGGUUGACCUCGGAUCAGGUAGGAAUACCCGCUGAACUUAAG